ACAUGAAAAUAUGCCGUGCCAAAAUCACUUAAAAUCAGCCAAUCUAACCUAACCUACGGGCAUUUCAUUCCUCCAUCUUCAUUCUAUUAAUCCUUUAAUCAUGCUCAAAACUUACCCAGAUAAUAUAACUAUAAGGAAGUCAAAUCGUUCCACGUUCCAUCCAUCUUAAUAACAUCCCCCAACCCGAUUGAGCCCAUAAAACUCUCACUCUCACUUCACGAAACAUGAUUUUCGUUCGUGUUUCUCUGAUGCCUCAUUCCGCGCCAAAUUUUCUACCUGAGCUCUUUUCAUGGAUUUUUCAUCUUCGGCUGAAACUUACGAUAAAGAUUCAAACUUUUUCAGGGUGGAUUUAAUCUAAUGACCAUCCGUGGAUUGAAGGGAAGCCUUUUGUUACCAAAGGGAAAGAAACAAUAGUAAGAACCAUAAAGAGAGGCCGCGUGGAUUGUGUCAAUUUCUUCAUCAGAAGUUUCUAUGGAUCCGUGAAAAGCCAUUUGAUGCAGCCUUGGUGAUGUCUGUUUUAGAGAGAGUUUGCUUCCAGUCCUUGCAACGCACUACUAGAAGAUUGUUGCUAUAUAAAUUUUUCAAAAGUGAUUAACAUACAUAAAAUAAAGCCACUUUGCUUCACCAAAAAGACGACCGACGGGAAUGGAAUUUUUACCAGCUUAUGAAGGGUUGACAAAACUAAUUUCUGUUGAAGAUGAUAUCAGAAAUUGGUGCUUCAAGCCUUUCAAAGCAAUUCUUACAUGCGUUAAAUACGCAUCAACCACGAUCUUAAGCCAGGGGAGGUUAAUUCAAAUCCACGUUUAAAUAGUAUGUUGUUAUACACCGGUAAAGGGCACCUGAAGUACUUCUACAGUCCUAUCUAUACAUAUUAAAAGUUGGUUAGUAUCAAAACUGUGGUACUCCAUCAGGUGCAUUUAUUCUCGGACACCAGCUGCGGAGGCUCUGUAACACCCCUUCUUUCUGGUACACCAGAGGGUAUUUGCUUCGACAAUGUGACUGUUACAGUUCCUAUCUUGAUCAGUUGAUUAACUUUUUUUUAUAAUGUUAUAUUUUUAUUUUACAAUCUUUGUAGCUUCUGAUUAGAGAAAAGACUUUCUCGAGGUCAUAAGCUCUUUUGGGUAAUGGAUAUUUCAUAGUUUAAAUUUUGUUCAUUUUGGGAGUCUCUUACCGGCUCCAUUGACUAUUUUUUUUUACAAAGUCCAGUCCCAGUGUUGCCUGAAAUAUUCCCCCUGAAAGGAGGAAACCAGUGGGAUUUGGUGUUGUAGUUGGAUUUUCCUGAUACUUUAAUUUGAGUACCAGAAUGAGCUAGAGCAGAGUGAUAUGUGACCAAAAUCUCUUUCUUAUACAUGCAAGUGUAUGUCGAAGCAUCAUCUUUAAUCUUUCAGUAUCAAAAGCUAUCUAUCAUGAAUCCUCUCCCAGAGUCUCAUUCCUCCACUGGAACGACAUUCUUUUUGUUAGUUUGUUCGUUUUUCUUUCCUGAAGAUGAUGGAAGACUCAAAGGAGGGAUAGAGCAGGGGACGUGAGUACAGAGCUUAAUCAAGCGUUGUGAUGCGCACGUAAAAGGCGAACUAUUUAUCUGACGGCUAAUAGGCGCGAUAGCUGGUAACAGAUUGCCCUUACGUUGGAUUGAGCACAAACCUUGUGUAGGAUCGUCCACAAAGUUCUGUGUUUACUUUUUCGCUAGAGAGUCCACAAGUUUAUGCAUGCUUAAUGGAGGGAACUGGUUUGUCGACCAUUAUAGUUUAUUACAUCUACUCAUAUAUAUAUAUAUUUUUGGAACUAAUACUAGCCA